rnacentral:rRNA from 1 species
UACGUAGGGUGCGAGCGUUGUCCGGAAUUAUUGGGCGUAAAGAGCGUGUAGGCGGCCAUGCAGGUCAGCUGUGAAAACUCGAGGCUCAACCUCGAGACGUCGGUUGAAACCGUAUGGCUAGAGUCCGGAAGAGGAGAGUGGAAUUCCCGGUGUAGCGGUGAAAUGCGCAGAUAUCGGGAGGAACACCGGUGGCGAAGGCGGUUCUCUGGGCCUGUACUGACGCUGAGGAGCGAAAGCGUGGGGAGCGAACAGG